rnacentral:rRNA from 1 species
UACGUAGGGUGCAAGCGUUACUCGGAAUUACUGGGCGUAAAGCGUGCGUAGGUGGUUUGUUAAGUCUGUUGUGAAAGCCCCGGGCUCAACCUGGGAAUGGCAAUGGAGACUGCAAGGCUUGAAUCUGGCAGAGGGGGGGUAGAAUUCCACGUGUAGCAGUGAAAUGCGUAGAGAUGUGGAGGAACACCGAUGGCGAAGGCAGCCCCCUGGGUCAAGAUUGACGCUCAUGCACGAAAGCGUGGGGAGCAAACAGG